GCAGCUCCAUGAGAUCAAUUCUGACAGCAUAACAAAAUGGAUCUUCAAAGUGCUUCAAUGUGAAGGAUAUUAUCCAAAGGCAUCCCCGUGGGAAAGAAAUAGUAUAACACAAACUCGACGAUAACGACAGAAACCAGAUGCCUUCUGACAACUAUUGUGUUUGCGGAAAUGGUCAAGAUUUUCACCUAGCGAGAUAGCACUGUUCUCAUUCAUCAUGGCAAUAUACAUGGUUCCAGCUCAAACAGCAAGAAGGAAGAGUUCACUGGCAGACUCCAUGGGAUACUUUUUGGUGACUAGACCAAUCAGUACAAGUGUGGAAUCCCACCUGGCUGAAGAGAUGAAUGACAAGAAGCGGAGACAACCAUACCUUUUGGGCAUAGGAGAUCACAACAACUCAUCUCAGUUUUUCAUUGUUGUGGAUGAUCUAGCUAUCCCCUGCGAAGGUGACAUCACAGAGGCUGUUGACAAACUGUUUAAGGUCCAAUUCUUGUUCAACAUCCACUAUGCAGAUGAAGUCUAUGGAUUUUUCUGGGGAUUUUUUGCAUUCAUACAGAACUUUGUUUACGGCAUAAGUGGACAAGAAGCAGUUCCAGCCCAUGCCAGAGAAAUGAUGGCAAGCAUCACUGCCUUGGAAGUGAAUGCAAACAAAUGACUGACUUCAGUAUUGCCUGUCCUCAAACGAGCGUAAUUAACUCAAAAGGGUGUGGAGGUCACAUGGUAAGAUCAAAGAUCAUUUGUAUUCAUGAAUUGCUGGCUGAUAUUUUUUUCUGUUCCCACUUGGAACAUUCUUCCCUGUUUAAGUUGAUAGAGGAUGUUCACUUUUUAAAUGUACACAAUUCCAUAAUCAAUGGAAGAUCACUGUUGAAUAAAUUUGGGUUUAUUCAUCCUCAAAUAUUCCAGGAUAUUCUCAUAUUUUUUAAAAGAAAAAAAUCUUGGUCAGUAAUGUAUAUGUUAAAUAAAUUUACCUUGAACACAUCUCUUACAGUGCAUAUAUAUAAAAAAAUUAACCCUUUUGAAAAUAAUUUUCACAAUCACAUUUCAAAAUAUGGAGAUAAUUUUUUUUUAAUGGCUUUUGGUACUCUAUAGUCUCUUCUAUCAAAUGCUGCUUGAGCGAGCGGUGACCAUUUUUGUCCAGAGUGUCAAAAAGUGCUUUGUGCCAAAAUUGAAAGAAAAGGAAAAAUUAAUUCAGCAGUCUGAUUAGGAUUCAUACUCAAAUCACUUGCUCUUUUGCAUACAUUUAUGAUCAUUUCAGAAAUGGAUAACUUUCCUAACCUUGGAAGAAUGGGGGGGGGUGUUUAAUUGAAAUGAUAACUUCAUUUUAGGGGGAGGGUGUCCCACUUCUGACAAAGCCCGAUAUAUUGAAUAAAGAUAUAGCAAAAAGCAGUCACCAUACAUUCUUCCGUCUAUUCACUAAAAUGGGUGGAAAGGCUAAAGCUGUAACAACAAGUUGUGAAAUACUUUGGGUUUUUUUGGGGGUUGUUAUUACUUUCUUUUUUAGCUUAUUGACCCUAUACAUGUAUAGCAUGGCUAUUUUUGAAUUGUUUAGGCAGGGAUUGGCUGCUAAUGGUCUCAAAAGAUGCAUAGACUUAAAAAGCCAUGAAACAUAGCGAGAGCUUGUUGAGGUUAAGGGCUACAGCCCCCCUCCCGGCCGGAGAGGGUUGAGUGGCAAAAUGACAUACCAGACGGGAGAUAAAUACACUCAAUCGGUAGCAUGGGUAAAAAGUUAACAGUGUUAGAGUUUUGGAGAAAGUAUCUGAAUGUUAAUCAUAUUUAUAAGGAUAUUUUCAACUGUUAGAUUACUCUGCAAUUUUGAAAUGUAAUGUGUUCAAUUAACAGUGUUGAAUGCAUUUAAUGUGAUGGCAGUUACUAAAUUUGUUAUCUGUUAGAUUAAUGUGCAAUUUUGAAAUUUAAUGUGUUCAAUUAACAGUGUUGAAUGCAUUUAAUGUGAUGGCAGAUACUAAAUUUGUUAUCUGUUAAAUCACUCUGCAAGUUAAUUAUCUUCAAUUAACAGUGUUUGAAUGCAUUUAUAUGAUGGCAGUUAAGAAAGUUUUUUCAGGUGAAAUGUAUUGAUCCUUACUUGAGUAGUAUUUGUGUUGACAUGUAAUGGAGCAUGUUCCCAGCUUUUCUGGUAAUUAUUUGGACCUGAAUGGUUUGAAGGCAAUAUAUUGUAUUAUGGCAAUCCAUUGUAUUAUGGUAUAAAGAUCUUUGGCUCAAUGUAAGAAAACUCUUUCAGGGCAUCAGCUCAUCAAGGAAAUCCCAGUGGCAAAAUGACAGAUAGACCAGGGCCCCGUUGCAUAAAAAUAUGGUAUCUCUCAAAACUAUCGUAACUACCAUCAAUUAUUUUUUAAUUUGAUUGGCUAUGGUUGCUAUGGUAGUUAAGAUAGUUUGCAGAGAUACCAUAUUUUUAUGUAACAGGGUUCAGAAAGGAAACAAAUAUACUUUACACUCAAUCAGUGGUAUUGGUCAAAGGUUAACAUGAAUGUUAGUGGAAUUUGUAUAGUUUUCAUGGUUUUGGUAAAGAAAACUUUAAAAAUAGAACUUGGUCUACAUUUGAUAGGCUACUAUAUCCAAAGUAUUUCGGAACAAUUUUCAUUUAUACUUUGAACCGAAGUUAGAUAACAAUGCAUACACUAUAUAGAUUUGUUCAGAGGCCCUCUAAACAAGAUGCAGAAACGGUAUAUAAUAAUUAUUUGUAAAGACUGAAACACAAGUUAACAGUGAUUUAUUACAAAAACUGAGUUUGAAUACAUUUGGAAUCAGACGUAAAUAACUCCAAUUGUUUUUUAUAAACUUGUAAAUGGUAUAUUCAGUUUUAGAAAUAAUCCUCAUCUAUUUAUAAUACAAUUUUCCUUUCACAGUUUUUAUGUUUAUAUUGUGUGUAAUUAUGUUUAUGUCAUACAUUUUUAUAUUGUUAUCCAGGAAGCAAACCUGUAUGGGUUAAAAAAAACCUUUUUAGCUUUUCCAGAGACAUGUAUAUAUUUUACUUGUCUGAAUUAAUUCAAUUAGUUUCAAUUCAAACAAUUCAAGAAUAAUUCAAAUCAAUUGUUUUAUAAUAUUGUACAUAAUAUGCUGUAUUAUUUGGACAUCUAUUACAGAUUCAAUUGUUAAAUUGUUCCUCAUUUGACUAUGUAUGUGAAUUGCUUACAAAUUAAAAUAUAAUUCAGUGAUAAUACAGUCUAGUUGAUCUAUGCAAGUUAAUUGUUUCUGUGUUAUCAAACUGAUUUUGCAAUAAAGAAAAUGAAUUACAA